GACGAACGCUGGCGGCGUGCUUAAUACAUGCAAGUCGAACGGAAAGGCCCUGCUCUUGUGGGGUGCUCGAUUGGCGAACGGGUGAGUAACACGUGAGUAACCUGUCCUUGACUUUGGGAUAACUUCAGGAAACUGGGGCUAAUACCGGAUAGGAGCUCCUGCUGCACGGUGGGGGUUGGAAAGUUUCGGCUGUUGGGGAUGGACUCGCAGCUUAUCGGCUAGUUAGUCGGGUAGGGGCUUACCAAGGUUUUGACGGGUAGCCGGCCUGAGAGGGUGACCGGCGACAUGAGGCCUAAGGGACGGCGCAGACUCGUACGGGAGGCAGCAGUGGGGAAUAUGGCACAAUAAGCGGAAGCCUGAUACAGCAACGUCGCGAGCGGGAUGACGGCCUUUGAGUUGUAAACCACUGUGGCCUGUAACGAGGCGUGAGUGACGGUAAUGAGUAAGAAAGCACCGGCUAACUACGUG
rnacentral:rRNA from 1 species